rnacentral:snRNA from 1 species
UAACAGGGAUAGAUUUUCAA